rnacentral:rRNA from 1 species
AUUGAACGCUGGCGGCAUGCUUUACACAUGCAAGUCGAACGGUAACAGGUUAAGCUGACGAGUGGCGAACGGGUGAGUAAUGCAUCGGAACGUGCCCGGUCGUGGGGGAUAACGCAGCGAAAGCUGCGCUAAUACCGCAUACGAUCUGAGGAUGAAAGCGGGGGACCGUAAGGCCUCGCGCGAUCGGAGCGGCCGGUGUCAGAUUAGGUAGUUGGUGGGGUAAAGGCUCACCAAGCCGACGAUCUGUAGCUGGUCUGAGAGGACGACCAGCCACACUGGAACUGAGACGCGGCCCAGACUCGUCCGGGAGGCAGCAGUGGGGAAUUUUGGACAAUGGGCGCAAGCCUGAUCCAGCAAUGCCGCGUGCAGGAAGAAGGCCUUCGGGUUGUAAACUGCUUUUGUACGGAGCGAAAAGGCUCUCUCUAAUACAGGGGGCUCAUGACGGUACCGUAAGAAUAAGCACCGGCUAACUACGUGCCAGCAGCCGCGGUAA